AACGCGAAGAACCUUACCAGGGCUUAAAUGUAGUCUGACAGGGGUGGAAACACCCUUUUCUUCGGACAGAUUACAAGGUGCUGCAUGGUUGUCGUCAGCUCGUGCCGUGAGGUGUCAGGUUAAGUCCUAUAACGAGCGCAACCCCUGUUGUUAGUUGCCAGCGAGUCAAGUCGGGAACUCUAACAAGACUGCCGGUGCAAACCGUGAGGAAGGUGGGGAUGACGUCAAAUCAUCACGGCCCUUACGUCCUGGGCCACACACGUGCUACAAUGGCAGGUACAAUGGGCAGCCACUGCGUAAGCAGGAGCGAAUCCACAAAACCUGUCUCAGUUCGGAUCGGGGUCUGCAACUCGACCCCGUGAAGCUGGAAUCGCUAGUAAUCGGAUAUCAGCCAUGAUCCGGUGAAUACGUUCCCGGGUCUUGUACACACCG
rnacentral:rRNA from 1 species